CAACAGCCCUGCCUGAGCUGAGGGCUGGCCUGGUGUGGGCGAGGAGGUGUCUGGAGCACAGCUGAGGUUGUGACACCUCGUCAGGGGCCAAGGCAACGCGGCAGGAGAGGAGCAGCAAAGCCCACCUCCUCACCAGCCGUGCUGACAUGAGCUCUCCCACGCAGCGCUCCCAACGAUGAUGGAGAUUUAUUUAAGCUGACUUUAGAGGGGAUAUUUUUGUGAAUGCAUCUUAGCCUGCCAGCUUCUCUCCUUCCGUCAGUCUGUAAUGAUAAUUUCAAGGAACAAUGCGAGAGAUGUUCGCUCACCACAUUGCCAGGCAUGUGGCUGUGAUGGAGAGGAAUUAGCCAGGGAUCUCUGGACACAGAAUUAGCUUUGAGCAUGUUGCUGGUGCUGCUGCAUGCUGCCUUGUAACUCCACCAGGUCCAUGCCCAGGGCUGGAUAUCUCCUUAAUUGAAGAGCAGCAGAGAGUACCUGAGACGUGUCCUGACCAAGAGCAAAACAGUUGGAGAAAUUCCCCAUCCAGGAGCUGCAAUAGCAAGGGGCUCAGCACAUGUACAGUCGUGUCCCUCGGCAGAGGCAGAACAUAAGAUGGACAAUCAUGUCAGCGUGGUGCGGGAGCUGCAGCGGCUGCCAGGGAGAGGAAAACCAAGGCAGAGAGAGGGGAGCUGCUUGUUAACCCGGGCGGCAGAGGCAGGGCUGAGACUCGGGCUGCUCGGCUGCCUUUGCCCUGUCCCCUGGGGUCACCCAACCAAGCCUGUGGUCCUAGGCAAUCUGUGAUUAAUUUGCAAGGAAAUAAAUAGUAUUUAAAAAAGAUAAAAGUCCAGAAUAAAUGAUUCCCGGAGGAUAUGUCAGUCAGGUUUCUGUUCACUCUACUGUGGCUGGCUCAUCUUGUUUAUUUAUAUUAAUUGCAGCUUGAUAAUGGCUCGGAGCUGCUGUACAACCGCUGCUGCAGGGGUCCACAGAGGAGGAUCUCAGAGGAGGAGGAGAGCAUUGUGCCCCUGUGCCCGCUCUCCCCAUGGCAAGUGAGGGGCUGCACAGGAUUUUGAGAGCUCCCCGAUGGAUUUGCUGUAGGGAGGCAACAGGAGUGAGGGCUGGCUGUGCGAGGCUGAGCUUGGGGUGCCUUGUGGGCAGCAGGCAUUUGGCUGCAAGGCAACGUGCAGGAGCCCUCAUCU